rnacentral:lncRNA from 1 species
UGUCAUCGUCUUUGUGUUUCUAUGUCACUGUAUUUUACUGUGUUUUGUGUCUCGUUUGUGGUAUCAUGUAUGUGUGGUGUGGCAAAGAAAUUGCAGACAGUGUCACCUACCAACAAUGUUACCAAUCGUAUAAUUUCUGAAAGUUUUUGUUGGCUACAUGACAAGAUCCUUGAGGAGAGUCUAAGAGGUCAUAAAGCUCGAGAGUUGAUGCUGACACCUAGUGGUAUUUGUCUUUCAUAUUUUGUCCUUUAGUUUGGUUUGAGUCGUUGCCUCAAGACCUUUGUUCUUUCUCUUAAGUAAUGAAAACGUUUUCGUCUACAAAUUUUUAUCAACUGAUUCCAUCCAUAUCCACAAAUUUAAUCCAUGUCCAUGUCCACAUAUUUAGUCCAUGUCCACAUAUCCAUUUACUAUGUCCAUGUCCACAUAUUUGUUUUACGUAAAUGCUAAUGAAUAUAUAUGAAAUGGAUGUUAAAAGAUAGAAAAUCUUAUAAAUAGAUUAUUAUAAUAAUUCUAUUUAUUUUAUUUAUCUUACAAUUGAAAAUAAAAUCAAUUAAAAACAUUAGGUGGUAUAAACAGUAAUAAAAUAAAUAACCAAAAAAAAUUUUAAAAGAAAAAUCUCAUCCACU